rfam:Triticum urartu cultivar G1812 contig707254, whole genome shotgun sequence.
AUUCUACUCCCUCCGUCCGAAAAAGCUUGUCCAUCGAAUGGAUGUAUCGAGCACCAAGUUAGUGCUAGAUACAUCCAUUCGAGCGACAAACUUGGGACAAGCUUUUUCGGACGGAGGGAGUAUGUA